CAGCGUUCCAUGUGGAACUGCAGGUGGCGUGCAUGGCACAGAGGGAAGACCCCAGAAGAUGCUGACUCUCCUGCUCAUCUGCCUCCUGCCAGAUCAGGACAUUGAAGAAGAGGAGGCAGCCCAAUUCUUCAACCAAGGAGACCAAGCCAUUGGGACGUUCAGGGAUGAGUCCAACCUGCAGCCCUUGCUGACCUUCCCCAGAAGCCCCAGCCUUCCUUGCCUACGGCCUGGGUGCCUGCCACACCCUCCCCAACUCCACAUCCUGCUCAGAUGCCCCACCCCUCCCAGCUCUGUCUGUGUCCCGGGCAUCUCGGUUUCUUCACCGUCUCCCCUUCGUCUGCAGCUUGCAGUGAGUCCUGUGAUGCCAAAUCUAAAACGGAAGUUAUCGAACGUUCCAGCUGCAGGGCUCUCUUCCUGCCUUGCCAUGACCCUGUCCUCUGCCCAGGAACAGGCAGCACCUGUGGGAUUUCUUGAUGUACACACAUCCAGCUUCAGAGCAAGGGAGCCAUCUGCCCCUAGGUUCUCAGUCAGACACCGGAAAACUUGCCCAAGCCAAUCUCUGCUUUCCCCAAACCUGCUCUGCCUUAAAGUCCUACCCAGCCCAGGUUCGCACCCACUCCCUUCUAAGCCAGGAAUCAUUUCUACCUUCUUCCUCUGGCUAACCAUGUGGAAUGAGCACGUCUUAGAAUAACUCUUAAAUGGGCCCAUUGUAACCUCCGCCACUCUUCCUGGGAUAUCCUGAUCUCUCAGCUGAGGUAUGGCAGCCUUUCCUCUCUGGCCUCCCUCCUGGCCUGGCUACAUCUCACCCCACCAGCAGAGAACUCUCUCUCAAGGAAAGCACUUACUCAUGACAUUGCGAGUCUGUCAACUCCAGUGGCUCCCAGGUCCCUCAGAUAACAUCCAGACGCCUCAGAGUCCUCAUAUGAGCAGCAGCUGCUCACGUCCCACCUCCCUGACUCCCACGUCAAGCUCUGGACACUGGAAAAUUGGGCAGCUUCAUCCUCCUGUCUGCAAGCAUGUCCUCUUCCCAGAGCAGUUUUGCCCACGACCAUUUCAGCUGAGCCCGUACUGGUCUUUCACAAUCGAGCCCCAGCCCCUCCUUCCUGAGUAGUCUUCUCCGGGCAGCUCCCACCCUCAGCUUUGUGACCCAUCUUUGCCUUGACUUCCUCCACCCCAUCCUGGGUCCUAUUUCCUUCCGACACCACCUGCGAUUGUUCACUCGUCUCCCUUGUGCAGAGAGACCCGCGAGUCCCUCAUGCCUUCAGGUGUGCACAGAGUAGGUCUGCAAUCAAUGUUUGCACACAAGUGACUGAGUGGAUGAACGACAGGAAGAGGGAUGUGGGGCCUCCUCCUGGGCAAAGGCAACCCUGCCUCCCUUCACACACCGGGCUCCUCCCUCUCAUACCCCCGCCAGGAACCUUCAGAGCCACAAGGGGUCACGAUGCUCAGGAGCCUCGCCCUCAUGCCGCCCUGGCCUCAGCUGGUGGUGGGUGAGUGACUGCUCCCAGGCCCAGUGUCCCCAGGAGAGACACACCUGUCCUUGAUCGAUUCAUCGCCAUGCGGUGUCCUGGCCCAGAUGUUACCUUUUCUGGCAGAAGAAGGAGACAGAAAAGGUCAGCGCCAUGGCUGCCUCUGCCUGACUCCCAGGGACAAGACAGCCACUCAUCUUCUGGAAAUGAACCGAGGGCACUAG